rnacentral:rRNA from 1 species
AUUGAACGCUGGCGGCAGGCCUAACACAUGCAAGUCGAACGGAGAGGCGGACGGGUGAGUAAUGCCUAGGAGACUGUCUGGUAGUGAGGGAUAACGUCCGGAAAAGGGCGCUCAUACCGCAUACUACAAGAGGAGUCUAGGUCGGAUUAGCGAGUUGGUGGGGUAAAGGCCUACCAAGGCGACGAUCCGUAACUGGUCUGAGAGGAUGAUCAGUCACACUGGAACUGAGACACGGUCCAGACUCCUACGGGAGGCAGCAGUGGGGAAUAUUGGACAAUGGGCGAAAGCCUGAUCCAGCCAUGCCGCGUGUGUGAAGAAGGUCUUCGGAUUGUAAAGCACUUUAAGUUGGGAGGCGUUACCAGCAGAAUAAGCACCGGCUAACUCCGUGCCAGCAGCCGCGGUAAUUC